rnacentral:rRNA from 1 species
AACGAACGCUGGCGGCAUGCCUAACACAUGCAAGUCGAACGAGACCUUCGGGUCUAGUGGCGCACGGGUGCGUAACGCGUGGGAACCUGCCCUUAGGUUCGGAAUAACUCCCCGAAAGGGGUGCUAAUACCGGCUAAUGUCUUCGGACCAAAGAUUUAUCGCCUUUGGAUGGGCCCGCGUUGGAUUAGCUAGUUGGUAGGGUAAAAGCAUACCAAGGCGACGAUCCAUAGCUGGUCUGAGAGGAUGAUCAGCCACACUGGGACUGAGACACGGCCCAGACUCCUACGGGAGGCAGCAGUGGGGAAUAUUGGACAAUGGGCGAAAGCCUGAUCCAGCAAUGCCGCGUGAGUGAUGAAGGCCUUAGGGUUGUAAAGCUCUUUUACCCGGGAUGAUAAUGACAGUACCGGGAGAAUAAGCUCCGGCUAACUCCGUG